UACUAAAUGUGUCUGAAAAGAGUAAGCUCCAUUUCUUAGCUAUUUGGUUAGCUUCUGCCAACCCAUCAGAAGUGCUCCCUCGGCUUAUUUCAAUGAUCAACAUAUGGAAAAGCGUUCCUGCUCACCAACCUGGCAAAGACUUCACUGGAACACCCCUGGCUUUGUACGAUGUCACUUAUCCGUCAUAGAGAUGAAGCAGCUUUCAGAAGAGACGAGCUGCAAAUCACCUGCCUGAGCCUCAGUUGUUCUGUAUCAGGCUAAAAAUAUGGAGAGGUCAUGAGUUCAAAUGUGCAUCUAGAAAUGCAGUGACUUUGCUGGGUGAAAAAAUACUAACCAGCUCCACUGGGAUCUCCAUGAGUGAACAUCUCAACAGCCAAGCUGAACUUGCCCUCUGGAAUACUGCAGCAUCAAUCUGUCACAUAUUAGGAACAUGCAGUUGUGGUUGCAGGUCCUUGUCUUUGGCAAUGAUCCUUGUCUUUGGCGAUGAAAGAGGGAUUUAUUUCUUUUUUUAAUAAAGCAAAAUCCAUUUUCUCUAAAAUUUCUGGCAUUUAUCAUCUCUGAAACAUUUUUCUUGUGGAAGCAUUCAGUGUACCACUGGCUGGAGGAAAGGAAAGGGAAAUAAAAGAGGAAGGAGAAGGGGAAAGGGAAGGGAA
rnacentral:lncRNA from 1 species